rnacentral:rRNA from 1 species
GACGAACGCUGGCGGCGUGCUUAACACAUGCAAGUCGAACGGAAAGGCCCUGCUUUUGUGGGGUGCUCGAGUGGCGAACGGGUGAGUAACACGUGAGUAACCUGCCCUUGACUUUGGGAUAACUUCAGGAAACUGGGGCUAAUAUCGGAUAGGAGCUCCUGCUGCAUGGUGGGGGUUGGAAAGUUUCGGCGGUUGGGGAUGGACUCGCGGCUUAGCAGCUUGUUGGUGGGGUAGUGGCUUACCAAGGCUUUGACGGGUAGCCGGCCUGAGAGGGUGACCGGCCACAUUGGGACUGAGAUACGGCCCAGACUCCUACGGGAGGCAGCAGUGGGGAAUAUUGCACAAUGGGCGGAAGCCUGAUGCAGCAACGCCGCGUGCGGGAUGACGGCCGUCGGGUUGUAAACCGCUUGCGCCUGUGACGAAGCGUGAGUGACGGUAAUGGGUAAAGAAGCACCGGCUAACUACGUG